rnacentral:rRNA from 1 species
UACGUAGGGGGCGAGCGUUGUCCGGAAUCAUUGGGCGUAAAGAGCGUGUAGGCUGUUCGAUAAGUUCGCUGUAAAAGUCGGGGGCUCAACCUCCGAAAGCCGGUGAAUACUGUCGGACUAGAGUACGGAAGAGGCGAGUGGAAUUCCUGGUGUAGCGGUGAAAUGCGCAGAUAUCAGGAGGAACACCAGUGGCGAAGGCGACUUCCUGGCCUGUUCUUGACGCUGAGGCGCGAAAGCGUGGGGAGCAAACAGG